AAUCUACCUACAGACUCGGGACAACAGUUAGAAAUGACUGCUAAUACCGGAUAUGCCGAAAGGUGAAAGAUUUAUCAUCUGUAGAUGAGCUUGCGUCCGAUUAGCUAGAUGGUGAGGUAAUGGCUUACCAUGGCGACGAUCGGUAGCUGGUCUGAGAGGAUGACCAGUCACACUGGGACUGAGACACGGCCCAGACUCCUACGGGAGGCAGCAGUGGGGAAUUUUCCGCAAUGGGCGAAAGCCUGACGGAGCAAUACCGCGUGAGG
rnacentral:rRNA from 1 species